CACGUAGGGGGCGAGCGUUAUCCGGAUUCAUUGGGCGUAAAGCGCGCGCAGGCGGGCGCCUAAGCGGGACCUCUAAUCUUGGGGCUCAACCUCAAGCCGGGUCCCGAACUGGGCGCCUCGAGUGCGGUAGGGGAGGUCGGAAUUCCCGGUGUAGCGGUGGAAUGCGCAGAUAUCGGGAAGAACACCGACGGCGAAGGCAGACCUCUGGGCCGCCACUGACGCUGAGGCGCGAAAGCUAGGGGAGCGAA
rnacentral:rRNA from 1 species